rnacentral:tRNA from 1 species
GGGGUUGUGGCUCAGUGGUAGAGUACUUUCCUCACAUGUGUGAGACACUGGGUUUGAUCCUCAGCACCACA